AUCGUCUUCCUUUUGAUUUGUCUUCCGAUCUUUCUGGAUUCUAUCUGGAUGAAGAGACUCUAAAACAUGUUGUGCGUUGGGUCCCAGGAGCCAAGAGUUUAACUAUUGAGUGCCUCUGAAUGAGGAAUGAUUCCUCCAUCAUCAAUAUUCUCGGUGAGCAUAUCGAAGAUUUGAGUUUGCUCAAAUGUACCCAGCUGUCUUACGACAUUCUGCAUGCAAUUGGAGAAAGGUGCCCCAACUUAAGGUCCUUGCUUAUAGAAUUUGCUGGGUGUGAUGCACCAGAACUUUUCAAAAGGAAGCUUGCAGAAAUGCUCCAAAAGGUCCCCUUG